UACGUAGGGGGCAAGCGUUGUCCGGAUUUAUUGGGCGUAAAGAGCGUGUAGGCGGCUAGGCAGGUCUGCUGUGAAAACUCGAGGCUCAACCUCGAGAUGUCGGCGGAAACCAUCUGGCUAGAGUCCGGAAGAGGAAAGUGGAAUUCCCGGUGUAGCGGUGAAAUGCGCAGAUAUCGGGAAGAACACCCGUGGCGAAGGCGGCUUUCUGGGACGGUACUGACGCUGAGACGCGAAAGCGUGGGGAGCGAACAGG
rnacentral:rRNA from 1 species